UGAGUGGGGAAAUUCUCGGAUGUUUUCAAGAGGGUCCAGCUGCAGAAGACGGUAGAGUGGAGCUCCACAGGAAAUAUGUCAUCUCCACAGGAAACACGUGAUCUUUAAGAACGUAAAGUGGGGCUAAUCUUUACGACGUAAAGUGGGGGUCCACAGGAAACACGCGAUCUACACUGUGUUUGUACCAAGAGAGAGUCUGGACUAAGUCUUCGAACCUGAAUUGCCAUUACAUUAAAAGGAACAUUGUUUUAUAAACCAAAUUGUAAACAUGGAUCCCCGUUUAAAAGCCGCUUUGCUUUUUCAAGACAAAAUUAUACGGCGGUGCACACUACCAUGCCGGGACAAGGUACAUUGUCACCCGGACUUGGCUUCCUCCCUACAACUGUGAGCCACUUCAAUCCCUUUCUGUAAGUACAAAUUUUCCUGGGUGAUUAUUAUUUAGAACUAGUGUAAGAGUACUUCAUGUAAAAUAUUGAUCUCCAUUUCAGAAUGAUGCAGAGAGGAAGGACAUUAUUGUGUUCCCACUAUGGACUCCUGGGCAUUUUUAGCUUUGUGUAUGUAGGAGCACAUCAAUACCAUACAAUACACUUAACCGAAUAAAAGCCCAAAAGUCUGAGGAUGUUAGGAUUUUAAGAUUUUAUUGUAAUUGUGUCAGUUACAUCUUGGUACAGCUUUAAUUUACACAUUUUAAGCCAUGGGCAACUACUGUGAAUCAUUGACUGACUGUUAUUGCAAUGGCAUUGCUUAACACCUUGAGUAACUGUCUCUUAGGUGAUGAAGCCAGGUAUAAAAGAAAUGUUCUUUCUCGACUCAUGAUGUGCUAAGAAAAGGACAUGAUUUGGUGGCCACCAAUAUGUGUCACUCUUGAGGUCAAUUUUCUGUUUAUGUUAGUGUGCAGGAACCUGUUCAGUGUUCCAGGUUAAGUACAUUUUAGAUCACGUUCUGAUCUAUUUUGUGUUCAGCAUGUCUUCAGUUUAUUCAGUGAAUUCACAUGCUUACUUGACAGACCUAUACUGUGGAGUACAGCCUUUUGAUUAAAAGGUGAUACAUCAGAUGUUAAAUCAGAUAUUUAAAUAAUAGUAUUAAAAUACCUAGAAGAUGAGUUCUGACAGUAGAAUUGGUUUAUCCGAUAUAGUUACCAAAUUAUGUCAUUAAAUUGUCGUUAUAAUUGGGCAGUGCAGUUCAGUCUGAAUAAAUGUGUCAGCUAAAUGCUGUAAAUGUUAAAAUAUGAUGAAACAGAAAUUACAGAACUUCUGUAGAGGUUGAUCAAGACUAAGCAUAUGAAUGUACUUUCGGGUCAGUCCAUGCCAAAUCAACCAGGGGCUCCAUGGGCAUCAUUCCUGAUUUUGAUGAAAACUUGGUAUGUAAAAUUUGAUCCUUAUAGAGAACACUGAAAAUUCCCCAAGUUUUAUUGAAAAAUUCUGAUGCAGUCCAAAGUUAUGGCCCUUUCAAAUUUGGGUGCCACGCCCCUUUUUUGCACUCGCGAAUCACGCAUGUAAUUUGUAAGGGUUUUCAAGAGACCAUAUGUUCGCUUCUAAGCAUGCUAGAGAGCUGAAAAUUGCUCUCCUGGUAUACUUUUCCCUGCUCUUUCAGAAUCUGGCAUUAAAAUUAAGCUCACGGGAAGCACUUCAAAGCUAUGGACUUGCAAAAAUCAGUUUUUGGUUCACAUCUGAAUUUUUCAAUAAAACUUGGGGAAUUUUCAGUGUUCUCUAUAAGGAUCAAAAUACCAAGUUUUCAUCAAAAUCAGGAAUGAUGCGCAUGGAACUUUUCUGGACAUUGGUUGAUUUGGCACGGACUGACCCUUUCACAUUUUGCUAAUUGUGUACAGGCUGUGUUUUUAAGCCUGUUUAUAAAGAGCAUGCUGCUGCAGCAUUAACAGUUAACAGUUGUUAACAAUUAAUUCUUUUUUUGUACUAGCAGUAAUUUCUGUAUGUUAUAUCUUAAAAUAACAGGAAGCUUGCAGAGAAUAUCAGUCCAGGGGAGUGGUCUGAAAUGAAUGGCUUUGAGUUGGAGCAUGUGAUCAUGUGUGUGAUUAUAUAGAGAUUUUCUAAUACAGGUAUAUUGAUGAAAUGUGAUUAAAGAGUGUUUUAUCCCAUUGUGAUAAUAAAGGGGUUUCCAAGACAAGACUUUGAGGUUGACUGUGGCAUCUACAUGUUGAUGUUAGACAUGCCGAAAUUGCGGAAAUGGUGGUGCCUGCUGCUAAUGGAAAACUUUGAUCUCCGAAGGUCAGUGUGUGUGUAUCUGUUAAGUUUGACUGAAAAAUGAAAUUAAAGACACAUUAUUAAUAUCAGUAUUUCUCCAUUAUAAGUUAUGGGAAGGUAUUUGCACACUGGACAAAGGAAUCAGAGGCUGUGCUGAGAGGUGAACAUGCACCUGUAUUCAGACUAAGAAAGCGCAAAUCUGUGGAACUUAGCCUGAAACCAGCAGAAGGGAUGUGCUGGAUGGAGACAACAUAGAAUCCAAGGAGCCAUUCCUCUUUGGUUUUCAGGUCCAAGAGGACAUGGAAUUAUUUUUACAGGCCUGUGUUGACCAGCGGGGCCUUCGGGUUAAUGCUGUCUGUUAUAAGAAUGAUUAAAUUACUGGCACAUGAGUGUGUUGAUUAUUAUUUUUUUUAUUUCAUCCUGUUUGUUGUUGCCUUCUAAAUAAAUUUAACAGUUUAUUAAAUAUAAUUAUUACAUGUCGAUCAUCAUUUAUACAACUAG